rfam:Nitrospirae bacterium GWC2_56_14 gwc2_scaffold_19277, whole genome shotgun sequence.
UGGUGGCUGAAAUGCCACCCGCGGUAAUUGCCUGUUCACCGCGAAGUCGCCGGCCCGGCGCGGAGGAGUAAUCCGAAGCGUCAAGCAGGGCCGGAAAAAGCCGCAAGGCCAGACAGGCUGCAGGCCGUAACAUGG